rnacentral:lncRNA from 13 species
GGUAUCUAUGAUAUCGAUUAUGUAAUAUUACACACACACUGUCUCUCUCCCUCUCUCUCUCACACACACACACACACACGUAUGUAUAUAAGACAGAAAGUAACCCUAAAUUAUGGAUGUUUGGAGCUGGAAAAGGCCUUCCUGAUAUUUAUUAAUUUAAUCCUUGUGUAGGAAUGUGAGGGAAAUUAGAUGCUAGAAUAAGCCCUUUUUUUCUUUUCUUAACUUCAACAUCAAGAGUCAACUUUGGGCUGCUUUACCUUCACCUUUGCAGGCUGAGCCCUGGUUAGUCUUCUAAGCCCAUACUAGAAGGAGAGUACAACAUGAGCAGUGCCUGAAAGUAGCCUCACUCUCAUCAAAUGAUGUCUUGUAUUUCUAAGGGAGCUCUGUUCCUAUUUGUACAUUCUUUCCUCCCCCAACCUCCCUAUUAUACAUAAAUACCCUUCCUCUAGCCCAAGUUCUCAGUCCACUGAUCGCAUCUUGGAUACUAUGCUUUUUAUUCCGACUCCAGCUUACCCAGUCCUACAUUCCUGAAAUCCCCCUGAAGAGCUGGUCUCGCUCCCAAUACCUUCAGUUGCUUGCCAUUGGACUUCAGAUGCCCCCAUUCCCCAUACCUUUAUGACAAUUUCAACCUGCUGGAGUAAGCCUUCUCAAAUAUGGAUGUCAGCUGAUACUACGGAGAGCCUGCCUGACUUCUUAGCACUGAAAUUUCUGGUUGCACAGUUCAGUCCAUUUCUCCUCUCAUUUGUCUGACUGUACACUACCGAGUAAAUAUCCCAGCUGAGCCCGGUAUGAGGAGUGACACCCACCAGUGUGUCAGCAAAUUCCAGUAUUUGACAGAACGAGCAACAAAACAGAUGUGGUUUCAAAGAGAAGAGGGAGAUACAGACCUUGGGUUCUCUAAUUUUUCUCAGAAGUUAGAUCCUAAAGAAAAUCCUGGAAGAGAACAAGACUGGCUGAAAUGUUUCAUGCCAAAGGACAAAGUACAUCCUGUAAUGUCUUCAAUUGUUUAUUUAGCUAUUGCUUUUUUUUUUUUUUAGCUAUUGCUAUUAAUUUCACAUUCGUCACUUACUGACAUUAUUGCCAAAUUUAGAAAAUUAGUUUAUCAAUUUCUGUGAGUCAAUUUCUGUGAGUCAAUGCACCUUAUACGCAUUGUUCUUGUUUAUUCUCUUCAUGGUAACUUAAGUCUGAAUGUAGGAUUCUGCCACAAAGAUUUAUAUAAACCAACUCUUCAGCUUUGCCUCUUGUAAAAACCUCCUCUGCAAAAGCAGACAUAGCUGUCUUGAUGUGGUUAGCAGUCUCAAGCACUGCAUUGAUGACUUUGAGGUCAGCAGAAAACUUUAUCACUUUGUUUGUCUACUAGAGAUUUCCAUACUCAUGAGAAUGAUAAAGGCCAAAUAA